GACGAACGCUGGCGGCGUGCCUAAUACAUGCAAGUCGAACGCAGUGGGGACUGGUGAGUAACCCGUGGGUAACCUCCCAUCAGAGGGGAUACCACUUGGCAACAGGUGCUAAACCGAUAUUGCUGGUUGGACCCGCGGUGCAUUAGCUAGUUGGUGAGGUAACGGUUCACUAAGGCCACGAUGCAUAGCCGGCCUGAGAGGGUGAUCAGCCACACUGGGACUGAGACACGGUCCAGACUCCUACGGGAGGCAGCAGUAGGGAAUAUUCGGCAAUGGACGAAAGGCUGACCGAGCCACGCCGCGUGAGUGAAGAAGGUUUUCGGAUCGUAAAGCUCUGUUGGUAGAGAAGCGGUACCUAACCAGAAAGCAACGGCUAACUACGUGCCAGCAGCCGCGGUAAUAC
rnacentral:rRNA from 1 species